rnacentral:rRNA from 1 species
UACGUAGGGGGCGAGCGUUGUCCGGAUUUAUUGGGCGUAAAAGGCUUGUAGGUGGCCACGUCAAGUCGGAUGUGAAAUCUCCCGGCUCAACUGGGAGGGGUCAUUCGAUACUGGCGGGCUCGAGGCCGGUAGGGGGAAGCGGAAUUCCCGGUGUAGUGGUGGAAUGCGUAGAUAUCAGGAGGAACACCAAUGGCGAAGGCAGCUCGCUGGGACGUGACUGACGCUGAGACGCGAAAGCGUGGGGAGCAAACAGG